GGCCCGUUUAGCUCAGUCGGGAGAGCACUCGCCCUGUUAGCGAGGUGUCCUGGGUUAGAGUCCCGGACUGGCCG
rnacentral:tRNA from 1 species